rnacentral:tRNA from 2 species
GAUGCUAUCGUAUAACGGUUAAUACACUUGCCCUUCACGCAGGGAAUGAGAGUUCGAUUCUCUCUAGCGUUA